UACGUAGGGUGCAAGCGUUGGCCGGAAUUAUUGGGCGUAAAGAGCUCGUAGGCGGUCUGUCGCGUCUGCUGUGAAAACUCAGGGCUUAACCCUGAGCUUGCAGUGGGUACGGGCAGACUAGAGUGCGGUAGGGGAGACUGGAAUUCCUGGUGUAGCGGUGAAAUGCGCAGAUAUCAGGAGGAACACCGGUGGCGAAGGCGGGUCUCUGGGCCGUAACUGACGCUGAGGAGCGAAAGCAUGGGGAGCGAACAGG
rnacentral:rRNA from 1 species